rnacentral:lncRNA from 1 species
GGGAAACCAGUCCAACAUACGAGAACAAAACUCACCUUCUUGGCUUCAGGGUCCUUGAUCUGCUUUGGUGGUAAAAGAUCCCAGUCAGAGUACAAGCUCCCGGUCUGCUUCUCCACAUUGUCGAUGAGGAUGCUGUAGGUAGCAUCAGGUCGGAGAAUGAAAGUAUAUACGUGAGAGAGUUGAUCAGUCUCGCACGGAACAUCCUUCUUGAUCAAGUUGUUUUUGUCAUUGUAUGUGAGAAUAGCAUGAACCUUUUUCGUGGUGUAACCACAGAUAUCUGGCCCAAACAUGAUGCUGCAGCCAACCAAACCAAAUACAACUCAAUAUACAAACUAAGUAGACCCCAUAUCAAGAAAGGUUAGGUGAUGUUUAUACCUGUAUGGAGUGUCACCACCAAAUUUCUUCUGGUCAACCUCACCACUGAGCAAUUUCAUGUAUCCACCACCACAAUCAAGUUUCUGUUCAUGCUUGACAGAAAAUUGAAAAACUAAGGUCUUAUCCUUGUUGCUAAAUUCAGGGAAUUCAGCGGAGAUGGCAUAAAACCUAUAGUCUUCACUGGUCUGGAUACCUGCAGCAAAAAAGGACAAAAAAGUGAGACUUUCAAAUACGUAUACAUAAUUAUACAUACGAAUUGCCAGGCACAAACAGAGUAAUCACCUUUGUCAUUGGCAUCUCCACUCCAUUGUCCAGAAGUGUAAUUCCACUCGCCAGCCAUGUUCUCAUCCUUCUUCCACUCAGAUUUGACCCACCGGCUCUCCCAUCCAUCUAUGAUAUUUAGCAGACAAAUACAUUAGAACAGACUACCAAUGUAGGCAGAGCAAGUAACUUAUAAUGUUCAUGAAGAGCACUAAACAUAAACAAUCUAUUUUUGUUUUCUUUUCUGGAGUGAAUGAUCUUAUGUUAAGAAGAUAGGAGGCACUUUCAGUAUAGGAAAGUCUUCUUUCAGGGACAAGUAAAUCACUGAGAUAGAAAUAUAAUCCCCCACAUCAACCAACAAUUCAUUGACAUGGAUGACACCAAAAGACACCAGAGUAUGUUUAGCCAAACCCAACCAAAAAUCAAUCUGUGAUGCACAAGUUUACAAAAUUAUUUCCCUUGGUCAAUUUUCAAAGUAAAUAAAUAAACUACAAAUAACAACAAAAUUAAUUUGUCAUCAACCAUGCCAAAUUUUAUUGUAUUGACAUUUUUACAAGUAUUAUUUAGAAAAACCUUCAAUGUUAAUGGUCCAGUCAAGUAAACAAGACAAUUACAACCAGUGCCUAUCACAAUCACAUAAACCAACNAAAUCAAGCAUAGUUGUGUGGAUUGGGGUUGUACUAUGAAAAAUCUCACUUAUAAUUUGGGAUUACGAGCUAUAAGUUACUCCCUCCAUCCACUAAUUGUUGGCCUAGGAGGCAAAACACGGGUUUUAAGAAAAAAAUGUAUUUUUAUUAGUUGAGUGGAGAAAGGGACCCACAAUUUAUUAAAGUCAAUGCAAUUAUGCCACAAGUUAUUAAAGGGACCCACAAUUUUGAUUAAAAUAUGAAUAUAAACUUUCCCAAAAUAGAUAGGACAUAAAUUGAUGGACGGACCAAAAAGACAAGUAGGCCAACAAUUAGUGGACGGAAGGAGUAAAUUGUAAAUUUAGAGCUAUAUAUGUUUUAUUACUUUCUCGGUUCUAUUUAUCAUAUUCUAUUACUUUUGAGCACGAAAAUUGAGAAAAAUAUAGUUAUUAUAUAAAGUGAGAUGGUGAAAAAUAUUUAAAGAUUAUUUUAAGUAAGUUAGUAUAUAAAGUUAGCUUAAGCCUACAUUUAAUAACAUUUUAAAUAAUUGAUUUUUUAUUAAAAAGAUAUGAAAUAUUACUAAUGAGACAUUUCAAUAUAAUAAGGAAAACAUUAUUAAUGGGACGGAUUGAGUAUUUUAUAUUGAGAUUGUAAUGAGUAAUAUAGCAUUAUGAAUACAAUAACUUUUUUUCAUCAUUUUUUUUNGGGAAGCCAUGGUCUACUCUAAUUCUAAAAGUUAAUACUACAAGAGGUGGAGUACUAUAUGAGAAAAAGAAAAUAAAUAAAAUCAUACUUUAAAUAUACCAUUAAAGCCCACCAUUUCUUUGAAACCACUCAAGACAUCAAACCAACAAAACCGUCAACUUGGACUAAUUAAAACCCAACUCUCUCUCUCUCUCUCUCUCUCAUGCAUUAUAUAUAUACACACACACCACAUUUUGUAACUUGGACAAGAAAAGGAGAGUUUCCACAUUAAAAAGUAGUAGUGAUAUAAAUAGAAUGGGAGAAAAGGGGAAGAAGAUAUUGGUUGGUGUUGAUGAAGGCGAGGAGAGUGGGUACGCGCUCUCAUGGUGCCUCCAAAAUUUGCUAUCUCACUCUAAUUCCGAAGAUACCCUUAUCCUACUCUUCGCCAAGACGCCCCUGCCUAUCUACUCAGCCAUCGACUCAACAGGUAAUUAAUUAAUUACUACUUAAUUAUGGGAUUAAGAUAAUUGUGAUGGUGAUUUGCAAUUAGUGAGCACUAGCAGGGUACCUAUUUUCUCAAAAUAUAGUGGCCACGAUGGACACGUACGCCAAUCAAGUGGCUGACGCCGUUAUGCAGAAGGCUUCUACACUUUGCUCAACCUUUAAUCACCAGGUUAAUAUUAAUUUUUUAAAAAAUUAUGUUCCAUCUAAUUUGAAAUUAAAAUACCUAAGGUUAAUAAUACUAAAACAUAUUUUUUGCCUGAUUGCCAAACUGUUUUGUUAAAUUAAAGUCGGUUCCUUCAUAUCAUGAGCUCAUUGGGUGAGGAGUUAAUCGAGUGAGUGGGGUGUAUGUAGGCUAAGGUGGAGACGAUGGUGGAGCAUGGCGAUCCAAGGGAUGUGAUCUGCCAGGUGGCAGAGAGGUUGAAGGUUGACUUAUUGGUGUUGGGAAGCCAUGGCUAUGGUCUUAUUAAGAGGUUAAUUUACUUUAAUUUCUGGAUCAAUUACUUGUGCAUCUUAAUUACCAUAAGAUUCCUAAGGAUACCAAGCAAUGCGAACUCUUAUUUGUGAACAGUGAGCUUUAGGGUUCAAACUCCUCCCCUUCUUCAAGUCAAAUAAAUAAAAAAAAAAUUACAUAGAUACUAUUUUGCAAAUAGUAUGGAAUUUUUAUUGUUAUUCGGUGAUUGAUGGCAGGGCAUUUCUUGGUAGUGUGAGUCAACAUUGCGCGCAGCAGGUGAAAUGCCCAGUUCUGAUUGUGAAGAAGCCCACAAAUUAAUUCAAAGAAUGAAAGUUAUACAAUGUGGUGUACCGUCUACGUGUUUGUGUAAUUAUGUUGUAAAUUCGUGAUUUCGACUUCUUCGCCUUAUGUAUGCAUGUGAAUGUAUUAUUGUUCACCCUAAUUUAAUAUAAGUUCUUCUUUUCCUUCAAAACAAAAAAAUUACUCCUAACAAUAAAUUGAUUUUUGAUAACUAAAAUUUAGAAAAUAAUUUAGAAUUUGAAUUUUAAAACUUGAAAUAUCCUCUUGGAAAAAAUAUUCAAUUUUUAAUAGGCGUCUUCGUUCAAAACACAUAUAUCAAUCAAAUAUUAAUGUCUCAUUCAUAUGCACCACACCACAUUUAUCAUAGAUCAAAUAAUUAUACUUGAAAUAUAAACAAGAUUACCGCAUGAUAAAGCUAAUUGUUUCAUAGAUUUUAACAAAUAAACAGUUGCAGCAAAUUAACCUUUAUUUUUUUAAAAAAGAAUAAAAGACAAAGUUUCAAUCAGAUAACUGCAAGUCUUGACAUUAAUAGAAAUAAUAAUCAUUUUUAGACUUACUUGAUAAACAAAAAAUCUGACUCUCUUCAAUCCAAAUAAGAGAUUCAAUUAAAGCAAUCAAGCCACAAAUACAUUUCAUUCUCUUGCAGCAUCCAACUGUCAUUUUUGUUUUCCUACAGAAAUUAAGCGCUACAACUAAUAAGAAAAAUUUGGGGCACUACACCCAAUCCGGAUGGCACAAUAUCAGUCACAGAUAUUCAGCAUUGCAUCACUUCACAUCUAUAGCUCAUCCUGCAAAAUAAACACAAACACAAAAAUAAGAAUUUUUGUGACAUGAUAAUAACCAAUAAAAACAUUGUAUAGCAAAACGCAUAAGCAAUGAAGAUUAACAACUUACAUGCGCAUCAUCGUCAACCGAAGCUACAGGGUCAUCGAUGGGGUCUACUUUGGAAUCAUCCUCAGCGUCUUCACCUUCAACAUCGGACUCAUCACCUCCAUCCUCAGCCUGCAACAACAAUGAAGCAUCCCCCAUUUAGUAUACAUAUGAAAUGAGAAUUCGACACAGUUUACUUCUCAGAAAUAAAACUAGUCUUACAUCAGAAUCAGCAGCUGGAUCAUUCUUUGAUUCCUCCUCCUCUCUCUUCUUUUUCUGCCUCAUCAAAAGCAGCCUUCUCAGCCUGCAUCAUUAUCACCACCGUUGACAAAUCAAUAAUAAAUAGACAAGAGAUAAAAAAUUCAUCGUUUAUAGAGAAGGUGAAAGAAAAGAAUUCCGAAACAAAUGCCACAUACAUCCUUUUGCUUUCCCCAUGUUUCUUCUGCGACCUUCUUGGCAUAUUCAGGGUCAUCACUUACAAGAACAUUGUCAAACAAGGUUCCAGAUUUAACCUGCAAAAUAGUUCUAAUGGCUGAGGAAAAGGGGGAAACCUAAAAACACGAGGAAAAAAAAUAAAAACAAACUUUACCUGCCACAACUCGAUGCCUACAUACUUGAGCUUUGGGAAAACAUAUAGUUCAGGGUCAUCCUUGAACUCUGCAAUGAUCCCAAAUUCGAAUUAGCAAAAACCAAAAUAACGGAUUGCAAUAGAUGCUCAGAAAUAUUAAAGAAGUAAAUAAAAACCUGGGUUAUCAAUCAUUGGUGCCUUCCACUUGCCCUUGUAGUUGGGGUUCUUAAUUUUCUGUUACAGAAAAAGGGCUAUUUAGAUUUACUCUACUUCAUAAGCCAUAUACCAGUAAGGCAAACUCAAAUUUCAACAAACCUUUGCCUUCCAUGGUCCCUUGUACUCAGGGUUGGGAAUGGUAGGUGCAGUCCACUCACCAUCCUCCUCAUCAUCCCAGUCCUCAGGCUGCAAAUGGAAAAAGAAUUUAUUAAAUAAUUUUCAAAUAUUAGUUUAUGGUGUGUAGAAGCAAAAUCAAUGUCAUCAAGUUACCUUUUUGGCAUCAGGGUCGGCAACCUCCUUGGGGAUGUCAUCAUAACCCUGUCAACAAAGACAACUCCAAGCUUAUCAUUAAUUCAACACCAGGAGUUCUACACUGCUCCCUCUUUAGUAGAAGACAAAAUAAUGUAAGAAGUCAAAGGUCUAUUUACCUCUGGCUUCACGUCUUCAGGAUCAGGAAUGAAUUCCUUGUCAUCCCAAUCUUCAGGCUGACAUUGGUAGCAACAAAGUUAAGUUGAAUUAAGAAUACCAGGAUAUCCAAAUGGGAAACCAGUCCAACAUACGAGAACAAAACUCACCUUCUUGGCUUCAGGGUCCUUGAUCUGCUUUGGUGGUAAAAGAUCCCAGUCAGAGUACAAGCUCCCGGUCUGCUUCUCCACAUUGUCGAUGAGGAUGCUGUAGGUAGCAUCAGGUCGGAGAAUGAAAGUAUAUACGUGAGAGAGUUGAUCAGUCUCGCACGGAACAUCCUUCUUGAUCAAGUUGUUUUUGUCAUUGUAUGUGAGAAUAGCAUGAACCUUUUUCGUGGUGUAACCACAGAUAUCUGGCCCAAACAUGAUGCUG